rnacentral:rRNA from 1 species
CGCGUCUAAUACAUGCAAGUCGAGCGGACCUUUUAAAGCUUGCUUUUGAAAGGUCAGCGGCGGACGGGUGAGUAACACGUGGGCAACCUGCCUGUAAGACUGGGAUAACUUCGGGAAACCGGAGCUAAUACCGGAUAAUAUAAGGAACCUCCUGGUUCUUUAUUGAAAGAUGGUUUCGGCUAUCACUUACAGAUGGGCCCGCGGCGCAUUAGCUAGUUGGUGAGGUAAUGGCUCACCAAGGCGACGAUGCGUAGCCGACCUGAGAGGGUGAUCGGCCACACUGGGACUGAGACACGGCCCAGACUCCUACGGGAGGCAGCAGUAGGGAAUCUUCCACAAUGGACGAAAGUCUGAUGGAGCAACGCCGCGUGAGCGAUGAAGGCCUUCGGGUCGUAAAGCUCUGUUGUUAGGGAAGAACAAGUGCGAGAGUAACUGCUCGCACCUUGACGGUACCUAACCAGAAAGCCACGGCUAACUACGUGCCAGCAGCCGCGGUAAUACGUAGGUGGCAAGCGUUGUCCGGAAUUAUUGGGCGUAAAGCGCGCGCAGGUGGUCCUUUAAGUCUGAUGUGAAAGCCCACGGCUCACCCGUGGAGGGUCAUUGGAAACUGGGGGACUUGAGUGCAGAAGAGGAAAGU